rnacentral:rRNA from 1 species
UAACUUUCAACAACGGAUCUCUUGGCUCUCGCAUCGAUGAAGAACGCAGCGAAAUGCGAUACGYAAUGUGAAUUGCAGAAUUCAGUGAAUCAUCGAAUCUUUGAACGCAUAUUGCGCUCUUUGGUAUUCCGAAGAGCAUGYUYGUUU